GGGUAAAGGCAAUCUGCCCUGGGUAAGUCGGCCCCUAAGGCGAGGAGGAAACCCGUAGCCGAUGGGAAGGCGGUGAAUAUUCCGAUACUUCAAUCAGUUUCGARGGCAGGACGCAUGAGGCGARGUCMGGCGGGAGAACGGUAGUUCCGGUCGAGGCGGCGAGGYGKARAGGCAUACAGGCAAAUCCGUAUGCUGAGCUGAGCUGAGAGCGAUUCCCUUUACGGAGGAACGAAACGKACAGAAUCAAGGUGCCGGGAAAUAAUGGYUAAGGUCAGGCUGGUUGGAACCGUACCGGAAACCGACACAGGUWGGAAGGAUGAGUAAUCUARGGCGCACGAGCGAACUCGCGUUAAGGAACUCGGCAAAAUGCACACGUAACUUCGGAAGAAGUGUCGGCUCCAUGUUAGAARAUGUAUAAUGAGCGGCAGAAAGCAGGCCCAGGCGACUGUUUAUCAAAAACACAGCCAUCUGCGAACCAGCGAUGAGACGUAUAGG
rnacentral:rRNA from 1 species